GAUGAACGCUGGCGGCGUGCCUAAUACAUGCAAGUCGAGCGAACAGACGAGGAGCUUGCUCCUCUGACGUUAGCGGCGGACGGGUGAGUAACACGUGGAUAACCUAUCUAUAAGACUGGGAUAACUUCGGGAAACCGGAGCUAAUACCGGAUAAUAUAUUGAACCGCAUGGUUCAAUAGUGAAAGACGGUUUUGCUGUCACUUAUAGAUGGAUCCGCGCCGCAUUAGCUAGUUGGUAAGGUAACGGCUUACCAAGGCGACGAUGCGUACCCGACCUGAGAGGGUGAUCGGCCACACUGGAACUGAGACACGGUCCAGACUCCUACGGGAGGCAGCAGUAGGGAAUCUUCCGCAAUGGGCGAAAGCCUGACGGAGCAACGCCGCGUGAGUGAUGAAGGUCUUCGGAUCGUAAAACUCUGUUAUUAGGGAAGAACAAAUGUGUAAGUAACUAUGCACGUCUUGACGGUACCUAAUCAGAAAGCCACGGCUAACUACGUG
rnacentral:rRNA from 1 species